CAACAUGACCUUCAUCAUCAUCUUCAUCUGGACUCUCACAGCGUUUGCUCAAGAGAGUAGAGGACAGAUCAGCGUCACUCAGAGUCCCUCAACAGCAGCUCAACCAGGAGAAACAGUGAAGAUCAGCUGCAAAACCAGCACUGAUGUGUACAUAUACGAAAAUCAGUAUAAUUUUUUAGCCUGGUACUUACAGAAACAUGGAGAAGCUCCUAAACUCCUGAUUUAUUGGGCAAACAACCUCGUGUCAGGAACUCCAUCUAGAUUCAGUGGCAGUGGAUCUAACAGUGAUUUCACUCUGACCAUCAGUGGAGUCCAGACUGAAGAUGAUGGACAUUAUUACUGUCAGAGUUACCACUGCAGAACAAAUUCUGAUGGUGAUUGUGAGAGUGAUGAAAGAUUCACACAGUGAUAAAGUGUCGUACAAAAACCUGUGUCAGUCAGAGUCACAGUGACUGAACUGAUGCUGCAGCUGCUCAAAGGAGGAUCUGAAACUCUGUUGUUUUUGCUCUUUCUCCUCAUAUUCUGACUCUCUGUAGGGAGAAGAGAAAUGCUGGAAACUGGACUGAUUGAAUCUGCACAGCUUCGAGGUUUUGAUUUGAUUCAUUGUGCUCUUAUAGAUCCGUCACAUGAUGGAGAUUGAAGCUCAACAUCUGUCUCACAAACACAUGCAGCUGUUUUCAGUCACAGAUACAGCUGCUAUA